GUGGGGAAUAUUGCGCAAUGGGGGAAACCCUGACGCAGCGACGCCGUGUGAGGGAAGAAGGCUUUCGGGUCGUAAACCUCUGUCAGAAAGGAAGAACCUCCCAAGUCCGAAUAGGGCUUGGGACUGACGGUAUUUUCAAAGGAAGCACCGGCUAACUCCGUGCCAGCAGCCGCGGUAAUACGGAGGGUGCAAGCGUUAAUCGGAAUCACUGGGCGUAAAGCGCGCGUAGGCCGCUUUGUAAGUCGGACGUGAAAGCCCUCGGCUCAACCGGGGAACUGCGUUCGAUACUGCGAGGCUUGAGUCCUGGAGAGGGUGGCGGAAUUCCGGGUGUAGGAGUGAAAUCCGUAGAUAUCCGGAGGAACACCGGUGGCGAAGGCGGCCACCUGGACAGGUACUGACGCUGAGGCGCGAAAGCGUGGGGAGCAAACAGGAUUAGAAACCCUUGUAGUCC
rnacentral:rRNA from 1 species